rnacentral:SRP_RNA from 1 species
ACCAGGCGCAGUUGCGCAUGCCUGUUGUCUCAGCUACUGGGGAGGCUGAGGUGUGAGGAUCGCUUGAGUCCAGGAGUUCUGGGCUGUAGUACGCUAAGCUGAUCGGGUGUCUGGUUCGGCAUCAAUAUGUUGACCUCCCAGAAGCGGGGGACCACCAGGUUGCCUAAGGAGGGGUGAACCAGCCUAGGUCAGAAACAGAGCAGGUCAAACCUCCCAUACUGAUCAGUAGUGGGAUCACGCCUGUGAAUAGCCACUGCACUCCAGCCUGGGCAACAUAGUAAUACCGUCUCUU